GAGCCUGAGAAACGGCUACCACAUCCAAGGAUGGCAGCAGGCGCGCAAAUUACCCAAUCCCGACACGGGGAGGUAGUGACAAUAAAUAACAAUACGGGGUUCUUUAGGAUCUCGUAAUUGGAAUGAGUACAAUUUAAAUCUCUUAACGAGGAACAAUUGGAGGGCAAGUCUGGUGCCAGCAGCCGCGGUAAUUCCAGCUCCAAUAGCGUAUAUUAAAGUUGUUGCAGUUAAAAAGCUCGUAGUUGAACUUCGGGGUUAGUAGGUUGGUCAUGCCUCUGGUAUGUACUGGUCUCACUGAUUCCUCCUUCCUUAUGAACCGUAAUGCCAUUAAUUUGGUGUUGCGGGGAAUUUGGACUGUUACUUUGAAAAAAUUAGAGUGUUUAAAGCAAGCUAACGCUUGAAUACAUUAGCAUGGAAUAAUGAAAUAGGACGUUCGAUCUUAUUUUGUUGGUUUCUAGGAUUGACGUAAUGAUUAAUAGGGAUAGUUGGGGGCAUUAGUAUUCAAUUGUCAGAGGUGAAAUUCUUGGAUUUAUUGAAGACUAACUACUGCGAAAGCAUUUGCCAAGGAUGUUUUCAUUAAUCAAGAACGAAAGUUAGGGGAUCGAAGACGAUCAGAUACCGUCGUAGUCUUAACCAUAAACUAUGCCGACUAGGGAUCGGAUGAUGUUAAUUUUUUAAUGACUCAUUCGGCGCCUUACGGGAAAC
rnacentral:rRNA from 1 species